UAAUGAGGAAACAAAAAAAAAAAACUCUACUCAUGUACCACAAAAUCAAUUGCUUUACCUUAUCUUUUCAUAUAUUACUACUGUGUUUUCAUUUUUUUCAACCCCCACCACUAUAAUAAUUGCCCAACCAACAUAUGUUUUGUUUAUCAUUGCAUCAUUAUUGACAUGUUAAUCGCUUCUCCGUGUAUCUAGAUUCUUGAAUCAUAGUUGAUAUCAGCAAGCAGUAUUAAACUAACGACUUAGGCAAAGAUCAAUCCACCAAAUCACAGAAACGAUAUUGAUUUUAUAAGCUUUAAUCGUUGCCAUCCAUAACAAGUUAAUGACAUUUACAGUGCCAAUCAAGGCUUGCGUGUCUAUGGUCUAUAAGUAUAAUUGCCCGAUUAGAUCAAACUGUUCGAAAUCUUGAUUUCGUUCAACAAAUUCUUCCAUUUCAAAGGCAUGAACGAAAUCAUCCCCAACAAUUUUUUUUUAAAAGAAAAAAUACAUAUCAGUUUUAGCAAACAACCUUGCAAACAAAAAUACUAGCAUAUCUCAAAUAAUCCGAAGAAAAAAAAAUCAAAGAUGAAGAAUGAUGAGAUUUAUGACCACAGAUAGAUGUACGAAUACAAGUGAAUUUACAUAAAAGUGAGAGAGAGAGAGAGAGA
rnacentral:misc_RNA from 1 species